GGUCAAACUCAUCACUAACUCUGCCUGGUGAUGCAGAAGGGGAACCAGGUUUACUAAAGUACCUGCAGUGAUUGAUGUCUGUUAAUCUCAGUGCUAAUGAGGUUGCCUAUUCUGUCCUAGUACAGUG